rfam:Verrucomicrobiaceae bacterium TMED76 73251, whole genome shotgun sequence.
GAAGUACCUGAGACAGUCGCUCAAUGACAUAAUUUCGUUGAGAGGAAAGUCCGGACACCUCAAGGCAGCAUCGCCGCAUGAAAAUGCGGGAAGUUGAUGGCUAAAGCCUCAGCUUACGGAAAGUGUCGCAGAAAAUAUACCGCCUCUUUUGGCAUUAGCUAAAUUAGGUAAGGGUGAAAUGGCGAGUUAAGAGCUCACCGCCCCAAGGGUAACUGAGGGGGCAUGACAAACCCCGUGCGGUGCAAGACAGAACAGGGAAAACGGGUUGCCUGCCCGGCCUCUAACGAGAUGAUCCCGGGUAAUAGUCGCAGCAUGGUUCGCCCAGCUCCUGUUUACAGGAAGAUAAAUGGCUGUCACCUAGCUGGUCUUUGGCUGGUUAGGAUACAGAAUCCGGCUUAUGAGGGUGCUUCCUUA